GACGAACUUUGGCGGCGUGCUUAACACAUGCAAGUCGAACGGAAAGGCCCUGCUUUUGUGGGGUGCUCGAGUGGCGAACGGGUGAGUAACACGUGAGUAACCUGCCCUUGACUUUGGGAUAACUUCAGGAAACUGGGGCUAAUACCGGAUAGGAGCUCCUGCUGCAUGGUGGGGGUUGGAAAGUUUCGGCGGUUGGGGAUGGACUCGCGGCUUAUCAGCUUGUUGGUGGGGUAGUGGCUUACCAAGGCUUUGACGGGUAGCCGGCCUGAGAGGGUGACCGGCCACAUUGGGACUGAGAUACGGCCCAGACUCCUACGGGAGGCAGCAGUGGGGAAUAUUGCACAAUGGGCGGAAGCCUGAUGCAGCAACGCCGCGUGCGGGAUGACGGCCUUCGGGUUGUAAACCGCUUUCGCCUGUGACGAAGCGUGAGUGACGGUAAUGGGUAAAGAAGCACCGGCUAACUACGUGCCAGCAGCCGCGGUGAUACGUAGGGUGCGAGCGUUGUCCGGAUUUAUUGGGCGUAAAGGGCUCGUAGGUGGUUGAUCGCGUCGGAAGUGUAAUCUUGGGGCUUAACCCUGAGCGUGCUUUCGAUACGGGUUGACUUGAGGAACGUAGGGGAGAAUGGAAUUCCUGGUGGAGCGGUGGAAUGCGCAGAUAUCAGGAGGAACACCAGUGGCGAAGGCGGUUCUCUGGGCCUUUCCUGACGCUGAGGAGCGAAAGCGUGGGGAGCGAACAGGCUUAGAUACCCUGGUAGUCCACGCUGUAAACGGUGGGUACUAGGUGUGGGGUCCAUUCCACGGGUUCCGUGCCGUAGCUAACGCUUUAAGUACCCCGCCUGGGGAGUACGGCCGCAAGGCUAAAACUCAAAGGAAUUGACGGGGCCCCGCACAAGCGGCGGAGCAUGCGGAUUAAUUCGAUGCAACGCGUAGAACCUUACCUGGGUUUGACAUGGAUCGGGAGUGCUCAGAGAUGGGUGUGCCUCUUUUGGGGUCGGUUCACAGGUGGUGCAUGGCUGUCGUCAGCUCGUGUCGUGAGAUGUUGGGUUAAGUCCCGCAACGAGCGCAACCCUUGUUCACUGUUGCCAGCACGUUAUGGUGGGGACUCAGUGGAGACCGCCGGGGUCAACUCGGAGGAAGGUGGGGAUGACGUCAAGUCAUCAUGCCCCUUAUGUCCAGGGCUUCACGCAUGCUACAAUGGCUGGUACAGAGAGUGGCGAGCCUGUGAGGGUGAGCGAAUCUCGGAAAGCCGGUCUCAGUUCGGAUUGGGGUCUGCAACUCGACCUCAUGAAGUCGGAGUCGCUAGUAAUCGCAGAUCAGCAACGCUGCGGUGAAUACGUUCCCGGGGCU
rnacentral:rRNA from 1 species